rnacentral:rRNA from 1 species
UACAGGGGGUGCAAGCGUUAAUCGGAAUUACUGGGCGUAAAGAGUGCGUAGGUGGUUGGAUAAGUUAGGUGUGAAAUCCCUGGGCUCAACCUAGGAACUGCGCUUAAAACUGUUCGGCUAGAGUAUUGUAGAGGAUAGUGGAAUUUCCAGUGUAGCGGUGAAAUGCGUAGAUAUUGGAAGGAACACCAGUGGCGAAGGCGACUAUCUGGGCAAAUACUGACACUGAGGCACGAAAGCAUGGGGAGCGAACGGG